GCCGGCCGGCUCUGUGUACGUGCGAGCCACGCGCUGCGAAUCAAGCCAAUAGAGCGCUAGUAAACGCUGAGAGAAGCAGCGGAUUAACGCUCUGAUCGGCAGCUGUCUAUCUUCCGGCAAAUAGACUCGGUUUUUAAGAACUAAACCUCCGUGAAUAGUAUUUAAGGCCAAGAAUGGCAUUGUUAUGGGUGUUUGGUGCGGUUGUGGUUUGUUUUUACCAAGUCACUUCAGAAACAGUUAGCUUUAUUAAAUCCCCAAUGUCCCAGACGACAGUCACUGGGAGGAGCACAGGGCUCCACUGUGAGGUCGUAGGCUUUCCCGUCCCAGAGGUGCAGUGGUGGUACGUUGAGGGGGAAGAACCUGAAGAAACAAUUAUUCAGCUGUUUGAUGGGGCACGAAAGGAUCGAGUCCGGAUCCAGACCACAUACAAUACUUAUGCCGCCAGCACCAUUCGCAUCUUGAACGUCACACGCAACGACUCUGGGACGUAUGAGUGCAGGGCCUCCAACGACCCCGAGCGCAAUGCUCUGAGGAAGACGCCCAAAGUCAAGUGGAUCCGCUCGCAGGCUAACAUUGUUGUGUUUGAACGCCCGUACAUCCUGACUGAGCCAAAAGAGGCUAAUAUCACCACCGAGGUGCUCAGCUGCAACCUCACUGAGGCUCCGUCUCCCAUCAAAAGUCAUCACUGGACCAGGAAUGGAAAAGUGAUAGAAGAGACGCGCCGCUCCUCCACAGUGGCGUUUACCGAGUACAAAGUAGAGAAAACUGACACCAAAUUUGGAGGUGAAUUUUCUUGUGUCUUUGUUGCGGCUACUGAGUUUCACAAGUCUAUAAAUCUUUCAGUGUUCCCCCGUGUCGUGGCUCCCAAGCACAACGAACACGUGACUGAGAAUGACAAAGCAGUGCUCAUUUGUGAGAGCAGCACCUACCCGGACAUUGACGACUGGCAAUGGUACUUCACUGAUGAUAGCCUGAAUAAAAAGGAAAUCACAGAGAACGAAAAGUACAAUAUCAAGACCCUGCGCAACAAGACCACCCUGUACAUCCAUAACCCGGCCAGUAACACAGACUCUGGCACCUACACUUGCCAGGGAAGCAAUCAAAUUGGUGAGAACUUCGAUGUCAUCACACUGCGUGUGCGCAGCCGGCUGGCCGCCCUGUGGCCCUUCCUCGGCAUCGUGGUGGAGGUGAUCAUCCUUGUCACCAUCAUCUUCAUCUUUGAGAAGAGGAGAAAGCACGAGGACCUUGGUGACGAUUUAACUAAAAACGAACAUUAAUUUACCAGACUAGAACAACCUAUAUUGUUUUGUGUUUUUAUUUUAUUUAUUUAUUAUAAUUUUUGUUUUAUUUGCUGCUGCUUUUGUAACAUUUUGAUGACAAUGUAGGGUCUGCUCCACUGAAGAGCGAGUCUGCCGCCAACCACAAGGACAAAAAUGUGAGGCAGAGGAACUGUAACUGAAGAAGGAUGGCGAUGAAGGACUCCUGAUGGUGGCUAUGUGAUGUUCACGUGGAGCAGAGAGCACCAUCCAGUCUGUUCUAGAAAUCCUUUCCUCUUUCACAGGUUUUUCUUCAGUAAACUAUGUCUAAAGGACCAAUAUACUCCUGAUGUUUCUCUUACUCUUUUUUUGGCAUGUCCUCUAUGCUAUCAAGAAGUUCAUGGAAGCCUAUGGCUAUGACUGUGUGAGCUUAUUCACAUUUAUUUUAAUCUCUGGGCCUAUCUAUUGUUUAUGCAGAAGUCUUUGUUUUCUCUGCGAGUGUGUGUGUGUGUGUGCUUCCUCUCAGUCGACCAGUCCUGCGUGCGCUUUUAAGCUAUCCAGCACCAGUAUUAACAUCCUCUGGGGAGGGGGGAGGGGUUGGUGGAGCCUCUGGUGACAGAGACCCCCCCUCACCACAUGCCGGCACACAUGUAUUACUGGAAGCCUGGUGGAAAUGACCUGUUCUGCUCCAUAAACAAUGCAGUGUGGGGCCCUUUGGGCUUUUUCUGAUGGUUGUAAUAACUGUAUAGUUUGUUUGACGGACUCCAGGGCUGGAAUUUAAUGCUGGCUAUUGUUACUCCUCAGAUGUUUCUGGGCUGUUCAAGCUCAAAACUUGAAAUACUAUUUUAAAAAUGUGUUUUAUUAUUAUCAUUAUUUUUCAGAUAUCCUCAGUAAAAUGUCCUACGAUGAUCUGCUAGCUGCUUUACAUCAUUUUGAAGAGUUUUGUUUGCAAAGCCCGAGACUGAUACCUGAUGUAUAACUUAAAUUUUGUGGCAUCCUUUAAAAUGAGUUAUUACAUUAUUUAACCCUUUUUGUGGAAAGUCCAAGCAAGAUAUUGUAUUACUAUUGCACCUGGCGUGUUCUUUUUGUCUUCCUAUGUUUAAAUUUUAGGAUGUUUUUAAAAUAUAAAUUAAGAAUCUGAAAUUAACGUAUUUAACAAGCAAUAACUUGACUACUAACUGCUGUAACAACUUGCACGAUUGAAAUAAAUGUAUUUGUUUUA